rnacentral:rRNA from 1 species
UACGUAGGGGGCAAGCGUUGUCCGGAUUUAUUGGGCGUAAAGAGCUCGUAGGUGGUUUGGUAAGUCGGAUGUGAAAUCUCCAGGCUCAACCUGGAGGGGUCAUUCGAUACUGCCAUGACUAGAGGUCGGUAGGGGAGUGUGGAACUCCUGGUGGAGCGGUGAAAUGCGUAGAGAUCAGGAAGAACAUCGGUGGCGAAGGCGCUCUGCUGGACCAUAACUGACACUCAGGGACGAAAGCUAGGGGAGCGAAUGGG